UGCCAGCUUCAUCAGCCUGCGCGUCAGAUGACCUCCUCGACUUCUUUGGUGAUCGGAUGGGUUGACCGGGUGGGCCAGAUAACCCAGUGUCGCCUUUCUGUCCAACAAGACCCUAUGAAGAAAAACAGGCACUUUACGAUCUGGCAAUGAAUAUGAACACAGGCAAACCAGGGGGACCAGGAGGACCGAGAGGACCUGAAGAACCAGCAAUACCCUACAAAACCAAAGCAAGCAAUUACAAUAACAACAACU